GGAGUUAGCCGGUGCUUCUUCUGUGAGUGAUGUCCUUCCUGCCGGCUAUUAACCCGCAGGCCUUCUUCCUCACUGAAAGUGCUUUACAACCCGAAGGCCUUCUUCACACACGCGGCAUGGCUGGAUCAGGGUUGCCCCCAUUGUCCAAUAUUCCCCACUGCUGCCUCCCGUAGGAGUCUGGGCCGUGUCUCAGUCCCAGUGUGGCUGAUCAUCCUCUCAGACCAGCUACGGAUCGUCGCCUUGGUGAGCCGUUACCUCACCAACCAGCUAAUCCGACAUAGGCUCAUCCGAUAGCGCGAGGCCCGAAGGUCCCCCGCUUUCCCCCGUAGGGCGUAUGCGGUAUUAGCCUGGGUUUCCCCAGGUUAUCCCCCACUACCGGGCAGAUUCCUAUGCAUUACUCACCCGUCCGCCGCUCGCCACCAGGGAGCAAGCUCCCCGUGCUGCCGCUCGACUUGCAUGUGUUAGGCCUGCCGCCAGCGUUCAAUCUGAGCCAGAAUCAAACCUCUCGA
rnacentral:rRNA from 1 species